AAUAUUGGUCAAUGGGCGGAAGCCUGAACCAGCCAUGCCGCGUGCAGGAAGACGGCCCUACGGGUUGUAAACUGCUUUUGUACCGGAAUAAACCUCUUUACGUGUAAAGAGCUGAAUGUACGGUAAGAAUAAGGAUCGGCUAACUCCGUGCCAGCAGCCGCGGUAAUACGGAGGAUCCAAGCGUUAUCCGGAUUUAUUGGGUUUAAAGGGUGCGUAGGUGGCCUGUUAAGUCAGGGGUGAAAGACGGUAGCUUAACUAUCGCAGUGCCUUUGAUACUGACGGGCUUGAAUACACUAGAGGUAGGCGGAAUGUGACAAGUAGCGGUGAAAUGCAUAGAUAUGUCACAGAACACCAAUUGCGAAGGCAGCUUACUAUGGUGUUAUUGACACUGAGGCACGAAAGCGUGGGGAUCAAACAGGAUUAGAUACCUUGGUAGUCCACGCCGUAAACGAUGAAUACUCGAUGUUGGCGAUAUACGGUCAGCGUCUAAGCGAAAGCGUUAAGUAUUCCACCUGGGGAGUACGCCCGCAAGGGUGAAACUCAAAGGAAUUGACGGGGGCCCGCACAAGCGGAGGAGCAUGUGGUUUAAUUCGAUGAUACGCGAGGAACCUUACCCGGGCUUGAAAGUUAGUGAAUUGAGCAGAGACGCUCAAGUCAUUCGGGACACGAAACUAGGUGCUGCAUGGCUGUCGUCAGCUCGUGCCGUGAGGUGUUGGGUUAAGUCCCGCAACGAGCGCAACCCC
rnacentral:rRNA from 1 species